GUGAUAUUUUUGGCCUGCUUCCAGGAGUUUCUACAUGCCAAGUACAGCUAUCUUACAUUUCCACAGCACCUUUUCAUCUUGCUCGCUUCCUAAGGGACUGCAAAAUGUGGUACAAAUGUUUCCAAAGGAAUGAAUUUGCCCAGCACUGAGAUGCAACCACCUUUAGAGAGAAAUGAGAGUGGAUAUCAAUAAUACCCAUCCCCUCAGAAGUUUAGGGCAGGAAGAGAAAAAUACCUGAACCAUCUAAAAUGGACAAUUAAAUCACAUCCAAAAUAUAAAAGACACAUUUCAGAUGGGAAAAAUUCAUCUGAGUUUCAGAGAGAUUCAGGAUCAAGUUUGCCACCAUUCAGAAGAAUCACACAAUGCCUACGCACCACUUAAGCUGUUUUCUAUAGUAAACUGUGGCAUGUCAAAUCCUCCGAGGAGCAUUGAUGUGGGGUUUGACUGCAUAAGCUUUGUGCUAACCAUCUGCAUAGACAUCAGAUGCUCACAGAAAAGACAUCUACCAGUUUGUUACCCUAACAGGUCCUAAUUUUGUUGCAGUGGAAAUCCUUACUUCACUGGGAGGAGGACCAAACCCUUGGUCUUUGUGGCAGACAUUUAGUAUGUUUGCAGCUGUUUGUUCACCAAGCUUCUCAUGAACAAAUUACAAUUACAAAUUGCUCUUAUUUUUAUUUUUGCUAACUUACAAUUUGACGGUAGGGGCUCAUUAAUAUCUGAUGCUAGAUACGGGCAAUCAAGAGCUCAUAAAAUUGUCAUUAAGUUGUUUACUGCCAUUUUAACACAUCUUGCUAAAUUUCUGUUUUCCAGUGUUUACUGGAGCUGCUGUCUCUAAUGACUCUGUUGUAUAUUCUAGCCCACAGAGACAGCUGCCUAGGCAGUGACGGAGAUGAAGAACUUUUCUUAAGUCUUAGUGAUGGGCUUUCAGCAAUUAUGCUGGUAAAUGAAGAAACAUUUAUAAAACUGAAGACAAGUGUU